rnacentral:rRNA from 1 species
UACGGAAGGCAGCAGUGGGGAAUAUUGCACAAUGGGCGAAAGCCUGAUGCAGCUAUGCCGCGUGUAUGAAGAAGGCCUUAGGGUUGUAAAGUACUUUCAUCGGGGAGGAAAAAACAAAACUAAUAAUUUUAUUUCUUGACGUUACCCGAAAAAGAAGCACCGGCUAACUCCGUGCCAGCAGCCGCAGUAAUACGGAGGGUGCUAGCGUUAAUCAGAAUUACUGGGCGUAAAGAGCACGUAGGUGGUUUUUUUAAGUCAGAUGUGAAAUCCCUGGGCUUAACCUAGGAACUGCAUUUUGAAACUGAAAUACUAGAGUAUCGUAGAGGGAGGUAGAAUUCUAGGUGUAGCGGUGAAAUGCGUAGAUAUCUGGAGGAAUACCUGUGGCGAAAGCGGCCUCCUAAACGAAUACUGACACUGAGGUGCGAAAGCGUGGGGAGCAAACAGGGAUUAGAUACC